CGAAGGACCCGAGCGUUAUCCGGAUUUAUUGGGUUUAAAGGGUGCGUAGGCGGAUUAGUAAGUCAGUGGUGAAAGCCCAUCGCUUAACGGUGGAACUGCCAUUGAUACUGCUAGUCUUGAGUAUGGUUGAGGUGGGCGGAAUGUGUCAUGUAGCGGUGAAAUGCUUAGAUAUGACCCAGAACACCAAUUGCGAAGGCAGCUCGCUAAGCCAUAACUGACGCUGAUGCACGAAAGCGUGGGGAGCAAACAGGAUUAGAUACCCUGGUAGUCCACGCCCUAAACUAUGAUCACUCGUUGUUGGCGAUACACAGUCAGCGACUAAGGGAAACCAUUAAGUGAUCCACCUGGGGAGUACGACCGCAAGGUUG
rnacentral:rRNA from 1 species